rfam:Pteropus alecto contig57383, whole genome shotgun sequence.
AUCACUUCUUGGCCUUUUGGUUAAGACCAAGUGUAGUAUCUGUUCUUUUCAGUUUAAUAUUUUAUAUUUAAGUAUUGAUAAAAACUAACAGGGAAAAGAAAGGUAAAGAGGCCUGGCAUCAGUGGCCUCCAUCGCUUGUCAUAU